rnacentral:rRNA from 1 species
UAAGGAAUAUUGGUCAAUGGACGCAAGUCUGAACCAGCCAUGCCGCGUGGAGGAUUAAGGCCCUCUGGGUUGUAAACUCCUUUUAUCUGGGAAGAAAUGUACUUUUUCUUGAGUACUUGACGGUACCAGAGGAAUAAGCACCGGCUAACUCCGUGCCAGCAGCCGCGGUAAUACGGAGGGUGCGAGCGUUAUCCGGAUUUACUGGGUUUAAAGGGUGCGUAGGUGGGCUUAUAAGUCAGUGGUGAAAUCUCCGAGCUUAACUUGGAAACUGCCGUUGAUACUAUAGGUCUUGAAUUAUCUGGAGGUAAGCGGAAUAUGUCAUGUAGCGGUGAAAUGCUUAGAUAUGACAUAGAACACCAAUUGCGAAGGCAGCUUACUACAUAUAAAUUGACGCUGAGGCACGAAAGCGUGGGGAUCAAACA